UAAUGAUGGUGAGGAUGACUAAUGAGGAAGGAUUUAAACCUCUCCCAAGCUUGGUAUAAAUUCUCUCCAAAUUUUUGUUUAAAACUUAAGAUUUCACUUCUCAGCUU